rnacentral:hammerhead_ribozyme from 1 species
GUACUACUGAAGAGUCCCAAACUAGGACGAAACAGCCGUCCAGUAC